CUUUUCUGCAAAUCUAUGCCCUAAUGUGGUAAUUUUCUGCAAUUCACUCAUUUGUUACUUCUAAGUUUGGAUGUUCGUCUCAAUUCUGUGAGCAAAAUUUAUAUAAAAUAAAUACUAUCUCAACUUGGAACCUUGUACAUAAAAACCUAAUGGCGGCGUGCCGAAAACAUGACUUGACACACCUCUUACAUGAUGCAAUGGAUUUGGCGUGAUGGUACAUAUGAGGGAACUGGCGUACGUACCCUGCCAACUACUAUUCUACUUGCAAGUUGAAGACUAACCUAAACAUGCAAGUAGGAUGGUCACAUGAUUCUCUAGUCAGAGUUGCAUGAUCAAAUAGGCAUUUCUUGAUCGGCUCGUUCAAAGACAAGAGAUGUAUACAAGUCCUAUAUAUACUCCACCAAUUUGAGAUGUUAAUGUGAGUGGGAUAUGAAUUCAGAUUUGUUCCCUUCUCUAUCCAUCUUGAGUCCAUCUGAAAUAUUGCAGGAAACCAAACACAUUUAUCUUGUACCACCUAAUCGUCCCUCCCGCCAUCUUGCUCUUCGAUAGUACAAGUAUAUUUAUGCUGCCGUUCACUUCCUAUAGCAGGAGCCUAUAUCGGCGCCAUCCAUUAUGAGUCCAUGCCGUCGUAAUCAGAAGCUGUACAUGUUGUUCAAUGUCACUAUCGUUCGUGCUUUGCGUGUCCAUGAGGUCGCGCUCAUGACCUUCCAUGACCUAGCCAUCGACGAGGAGCACAGGACAUGGCGCGCAAAACGCUUUCGAGAGAAAGAUACACACACUCUGAAAAUCUCUGUUGCCGCACCACGUUUCAAAGUUAGACGCGGAAAAAUACAAAUUCUUGUAGGAUUGUUUUUUUCGGAAUUGUCGUGUGAUGAAUUUUCAUAAUCCCUGUUCCGCAUACAGAUAAAAGGGGAUUUGUUACUGACAGGUGGUCCCGCACCCUACGUGUAAUAAGAGCAUGUACAAUAAGCUUAUGUAAACAAGUUAUAAGAGUUAAAAUAUUAUAUUUAUGAUGACAUGGAGGGGAGGGAAGAGAAAAGAGAAGAUGAGCCGACUAAAGAAUAAGAACGGACGUUAU
rnacentral:lncRNA from 1 species